AUGGGUUGUUGCUUUAGUGCCAGAAUCAAAGCUGAAAGCCCUCUACGCAAUGGUUCGAGUUUGAAGGAUAGUGGCAAAGAAAAUGGCUUGAGUGGGCGGAGCAGCGGCAAGGCCUCUGCUCCGCCUACUGCGCCUCCAACUCCGCGGACGCAGGGCGAGAUCUUGAAGUCUUCUAAUAUGAAGAGCUUCACUUUAAGUGAGCUGAAAACUGCUACGAGAAACUUUCGUCCUGAUAGUGUGGUUGGUGAAGGUGGAUUUGGAGCUGUAUUUAAGGGGUGGAUUGAUGAGCACUCGCUUACACCGGUUAGACCGGGGACUGGAGUUGUCAUUGCUGUCAAGAGGCUUAACCAAGAAGGUUUGCAAGGACAUAGUGAAUGGUUGACAGAAAUCAAUUACCUGGGCCAGCUGCAUCAUCCUAAUCUUGUGAAACUUAUUGGUUACUGCCUCGAAGACGAACAUCGGCUUUUGGUUUACGAGUUUUUGACUAAGGGCAGUUUGGAUAAUCAUUUAUUUAGAAGAGCUUCUUACUUUCAACCACUUUCGUGGACAAUACGAAUGAAGGUUGCUCUUGAUGCUGCUAAGGGUCUUGCAUAUCUUCACAGCGACGAAGCAAAAGUGAUAUAUCGAGACUUUAAAACUGCAAAUAUAUUGCUCGACUCGUCUUAUAAUGCAAAACUUUCCGACUUCGGCUUGGCAAAGGACGGUCCAGCAGGUGAUAAGAGUCAUGUCUCUACAAGGGUAAUGGGCACAUAUGGCUAUGCCGCUCCCGAAU